GCAAGGGUGUGAGUGCCCCAUGCUGUAUAAGAAAGGAUGAAGUUCAGCAACCGGGAAAGCUCUGUAACCUACCAUGUGGAUGCCGGUUACUUGAAGACCUGGCCUGAGGUGUCAGGCUCUCGUCAAUCCAUCCUUUCUCAACAGGCAUAUCAGGAGUGAAACCCUACUGUCUUAGUUAACAGCAGCAGCAGUGGAGUACAGGCAUCUGGAGCCAAGAAGACAAGGUGUGUGCUACAAAGGGUACAGCUGGAGAAGUGACCCAAGCCCUUGGAGGAAUCCAGACCAGAAGAUGAAGGGCUUCUUUGAAGAACACCAGUGGAAUUCCUUUGUUAAUUAAAAGUGCUGAGCACUAGUGCAUUGGAAGCCUUGUGGACUUGCAUGCGCCAUCACUGUGACGCUAUGUUCUGUUAUUAAACAAGUC
rnacentral:lncRNA from 1 species